ACGGUGAUUAAUGGGCUGAGAACAAAAGAGGCUGUAAGUAUUGUCAAUGCUAAGUGUUUCUUUGCUUUUAUUUACAAUUCUCUGGCUUGAAAGCUAGGCAUGCUGUUGUCUUAAUCAGAUUGGUAAUUAAAGUGAUAUCUAAUGAUGUCUGCUUAACAAAGUCACCUGGAAGUAUUCUGGAUGGGCUGAGAACCAUAAUAGGGCUAGCUUGGGGUGAUUGUGUUGUGGGGAGGGAUUGUGCUGCCCCAGGUGUGGCUGGGGGCAGUAGCUGGUUUGGCCAUAAAUAGAUAGGGGGCUGGGGCCUCUGUUUUGCUGUUUGCAUGGCUACAUCUCAUGAAAGGUGCAGUAUUCUGCUACUGCCACCAGAAAAAGUGGUAGAACAGUUGCAUCUAGUGGAGUCAUUUGUCUUGAAACAAGGAACGUCUACCAUCCACCAAAUGUCCCAUUGACCUUCUACUGGGCUGGUAGAACAGAGUUUGCACUGGAAAUCUGCAGGCUGACUCCAGGGCAGACUGAUCAAAGUGGAAUUAUUCAUCCAUCCACUGGACUCCACGCCCUAGUGACAGCCACAUGCCCAUCCUGCAGGGACAAGAGCAUGAGCUCCAGCACUGGUGAAGCCUGGUUUCCUGUGGAUGAUCCUCGAGGCCAUUCUCCUGGGAUUAUUCUGGGACUGUGUGGACCAGAUACGCACUUCAUGCAGUUUGAUGUCCUUGGCUCAAAUGGAACUUUUCCUGAUGUUUCUAGCAUUUCAUUGAAUCACGAUGAACACGGAAAAAAGUUCUAA
rnacentral:lncRNA from 1 species